rnacentral:rRNA from 1 species
UACGAAGGGUGCAAGCGUUACUCGGAAUUACUGGGCGUAAAGCGUGCGUAGGUGGUUUGUUAAGUCUGAUGUGAAAUCCCCGGGCUCAACCUGGGAAUGGCAUUUGGGACUGCAAGGCUGGAGUGUGGCAGAGGGGACUAGAAUUCCUGGUGUAGCAGUGAAAUGCGUAGAUAUCAGGAGGAAUACCGAUGGCGAAGGCAGGUCCCUGGGUUAACACUGACGCUCAUGCACGAAAGCGUGGGGAGCAAAC